GAUGAACGCUGGCGGCGUGCCUGAUACAUGCAAGUCGAGCGAAUGGAUUAAGAGCUUGCUCUUAUGAAGUUAGCGGCGGACGGGUGAGUAACACGUGGGUAACCUGCCCAUAAGACUGGGAUAACUCCGGGAAACCGGGGCUAAUACCGGAUAACAUUUUGAACCGCAUGGUUCGAAAUUGAAAGGCGGCUUCGGCUGCCACUUAUGGAUGGACCCGCGUCGCAUUAGCUAGUUGGUGGGGUAACGGCUCACCAAGGCAACGAUGCGUAGCCCGCCUGAGAGGGUAAUCGGCCCAGCUGGGACUGAGACACGGACCAGACUCCUACGGGAGGCAGCAGUAGGGAAUCUUCCGCAAUGGACGAAAGUCUGACGGAGCAACGCCGCGUGAGUGAUGAAGGCUUUCGGGUCGUAAAACUCUGUUGUUAGGGAAGAACAAGUGCUAGUUGAAUAAGCUGGCACCUUGACGGUACCUAACCAGAAAGCCACGGCUAACUACGUGCCAGCCGCCGCCGUAA
rnacentral:rRNA from 1 species